UCCUAGGAGAUGAGAUGGGUCUGGGCAAAACCUGCCAGACAAUCGCUUUGCUGCUCUACAUGUCAGGAGCACUGGGGAACAAAGGCCCAUUUUUAGUCCUGAGCCCACUCUCUGUUCUGGAGAACUGGAAGAAGGAGCUGGAAUGCUUUGCUCCCUCUCUGACUGUGCUGUGCUACAAAGGAGACAAAGAGAGACGGUCUGCGAUCCAGAGGGAAACGAACACCCAGGACUUUCAUGUUCUGCUU